rnacentral:misc_RNA from 1 species
GGUGGGAGCUGGCUUGCCUGCGAUGCAAGCACCUCGGUUCAUCAGGUAAACCGAGUCGAUCCAUUCGCAGGCCAGCCAGCUCCCACG